rnacentral:rRNA from 1 species
UACGGAGGGGGCUAGCGUUGUUCGGAAUACUGGGCGUAAAGCGCACGUAGGCGGCUUUGUAAGUUAGAGGUGAAAGCCCAGGGCUUAACCCUGGAAUUGCCUUUAAGACUGCAUCGCUCGAAUUGUGGAGAGGUGAGUGGAAUUCCGAGUGUAGAGGUGAAAUUCGUAGAUAUUCGGAAGAACACCAGUGGCGAAGGCGACUCACUGGACACAUAUUGACGCUGAGGUGCGAAAGCGUGGGGAGCAAACAGG